AGAAUCAACGCUGGCGGCGUGCCUAACACAUGCAAGUCGCACGAGAAAGUGGAGCAAUCCAUGAGUACAGUGGCGCACGGGUGAGUAACACGUGAAUAAUCUACCUCCGAGUGGGGAAUAACUGAGAGAAAUCUUAGCUAAUACCGCAUAAUACCCACGGGUCAAAGCAGCAAUGCGCUUGGAGAGGAGUUCGCGGCCGAUUAGUUAGUUGGCGGGGUAAUGGCCCACCAAGACGAUGAUCGGUA
rnacentral:rRNA from 1 species